rnacentral:lncRNA from 1 species
UUGGCUACACAAGCCCAUGUGGGCAACAGGCUUUGACAAGACUUAGCAAACCCACCCUGCCAAUAGUUUGACCUUGCUUUGCCCUCAACAACGGGGGCUUUGACAAGACAUGGCUACCACACAUCGAAUCGCUUGGGGCUUGCUCGUUGCCACCUAAGGAGCUCUUUUCUGCGUAGCACUCAAAGCACGCACAAGCCACUAGUCCCAUCGGAAAAAAUUCUCAUUCUAUUGGUAGUUUCCAAAGCAACCUACCGAUAGGUACCAUUUGUCACUACACUAUCUAGUUAGUUUUUAAAAAAUAGUAAAAAGUGGAUUGACUUUAGAAACCUAUUAGUUUACAAAGGUCGGUGGCUACCUAAGGAAUCGACAGGAGCGAUGAAAGGAAAUGGGUCACGUAACGAACAGGCGGGAUUACGAAUCAGGUCUAUGAGCUCUCUGUUUUAUGGCAGAGAUCUCUCCACACCAAAGAACAGGAACCGGAAUCGAAGCCCUAACUAAACUUCUUGAAAAGCCUUGCUGCUAGGGAAGGAACAAGCCACCCUCCCCUUGACUGACAGAUGAAGUACCUAUGUUAUCCUUCUUUCUACACUCCAGCCUCCCGCAGCUACAUGGAAAUCUGACUUCCUCGAUAAGCUAGUUUUGGUAUUUCCUACCCAUAUUUACAUAUUAGAAGAUGAACGUAUGAUUACUAUAUGUUCUUCUCCUUGGCGAGCGAUAACAAACCAAACACCCUCUCUCUCUAUUGAUCGCCCCGGGCCCCGGUGGUGAACUAGCGGCUCCUAUAAAUGGUGAUUGGGUGGUUCCGACUCCAAAGAAUGCUUCGGCCCGCCGGCCGGCUGGAGAGUUCUUUAUAACAGCGGCGGCACGACAGUACUGCUGGUGGUCCUAGCUACAACAUCG